ACGGGUGAGUAAUACAUCGGAACGUGCCCAGUAGUGGGGGAUAGCCCGGCGAAAGCCGGAUUAAUACCGCAUACGACCUACGGGUGAAAGCGGGGGAUCGCAAGACCUCGCGCUAUUGGAGCGGCCGAUGUCAGAUUAGCUAGUUGGUGGGGUAAAAGCCUACCAAGGCGACGAUCUGUAGCUGGUCUGAGAGGACGACCAGCCACACUGGGACUGAGACACGGCCCAGACUCCUACGGGAGGCAGCAGUGGGGAAUUUUGGACAAUGGGCGCAAGCCUGAUCCAGCCAUGCCGCGUGUGGGAAGAAGGCCUUCGGGUUGUAAACCACUUUUGUCAGGGAAGAAACGGCUUGAUCUAAUAAAUCGAGCUAAUGACGGUACCUGAAGAAUAAGCACCGGCUAACUACGUGCCAGCAGCCGCGGUAAUACGUAGGGUGCAAGCGUUAAUCGGAAUUACUGGGCGUAAAGCGUGCGCAGGCGGCUAUGCAAGACAGAUGUGAAAUCCCCGGGCUCAACCUGGGAACUGCAUUUGUGACUGCAUGGCUAGAGUACGGUAGAGGGGGAUGGAAUUCCGCGUGUAGCAGU
rnacentral:rRNA from 1 species